GACGAACGCUGGCGGCGUGCUUAACACAUGCAAGUCGAGCGGUAAGGCCCUUUCGGGGGUACGACGAGCGGCGAACGGGUGAGUAACACGUGGGUGACCUGCCCUCAGCUCUGGGAUAAGCCUGGGAAACCGGGUCUAAUACCGGAUAUGACUCCAUGACGCAUGUUGUGGGGUGGAAAGCCUUGUGCGGCUGAGGAUGGGCCCGCGGCCUAUCAGCUUGUUGGUGGGGUGAUGGCCUACCAAGGCGACGACGGGUAGCCGGCCUGAGAGGGCGGACCGGCCACACUGGGACUGAGACACGGCCCAGACUCCUACGGGAGGCAGCAGUGGGGAAUCUUGCGCAAUGGGCGAAAGCCUGACGCAGCGACGCCGCGUGAGGGAUGACGGCCU
rnacentral:rRNA from 1 species